UCUGGUAUUGACGGCGGAGAGGUCACGCCAGAACCCUUACCGAACACGGAAGUUAAGCUCUCUAGCGCCGAUGGUAGUUGGGACCUUGUCCCUGUGAGAGUAGGACGUCGCCAAGC
rnacentral:rRNA from 1 species